GAGUUUGAUCUUGGCUCAGGACGAACGCUGGCGGCGUGCUUAACACAUGCAAGUCGAACGGAAAGGCCCUGCUUUUUGUGGGGUGCUCGAGUGGCGAACGGGUGAGUAACACGUGAGUAACCUGCCCUUGACUUUGGGAUAACUUCAGGAAACUGGGGCUAAUACCGGAUAGGAGCUCCUGCUGCAUGGUGGGGGUUGGAAAGUUUCGGCGGUUGGGGAUGGACUCGCGGCUUAUCAGCUUGUUGGUGGGGUAGUGGCUUACCAAGGCUUUGACGGGUAGCCGGCCUGAGAGGUGACCGGCCACAUUGGGACUGGGAUACGGCCCAGACUCCUACGGGAGGCAGCAGUGGGGAAUAUGCACAAUGGGCGGAAGCCUGAUGCAGCAACGCCGCGUGCGGGAUGACGGCC
rnacentral:rRNA from 1 species